GCUGCGGCAUCAUGGACUGAGCGGCUGUGGUGACGGUGGAGAUGUUGGGCUGGUUGAGCUUCACCCCCGAUAGCGACGGAAUGGACGGCUGGCCAGCGAACGGCGGGCCCGCGUUGACCAUCUCUACGACUGGAGGAGAGAGCUGCCUCCACAACCAUCUGUGCAGCCACCUGAGCAGCAGUCAUGGUUGGUGGAUUCUGGAUUCAAAUGGAAGACAAAGCAACGUAAAAUAUUUUAGCCACGGCAGCCAGACGCAAAUCGGCGUGAGUUAAGACGGCCGACGCUGGCCACCGGCCAGGCACCUGGUAAGGAUGUGCAGCGCUCAUGGGGGGAGGAGCUUGUGGGCCCCCGACCAUAGGCUGAUUGACAGUCAGCGGCUGAGGCGGCAAGACAGGCUUCAUAGGCCCGGGACCUCCGGCCGAUGACACUGCGCAACAUGGAAAAAUGUUUUAUUUGCAUGCUUGAUCACAUCACUUUUCUGGUGAAAGUGUAGAGGGGAUGAGGAAAAAAGAAGGAUCCCAGUCACGAGUGUGACUUACCAGGCAGUGAAAUGCCCCUGACCAACACCAUGUCUGGGCUGUAGUCUGGAUGAGGCUCCACAACGCCCCCUACUGGAGACGCCCGUUCAAACAGAGCUCUCAGGGCAGGCAGCUUUCUGGGGGCCACCACCGAGAAGUGGAUUCCUCUCUGGAAAGAAGACAUUGAUGGGAACAUCAUCUGGCUUGCAAACAUCACAAGCGCUCGGGAGAACUCACGUCUCUGAUGAUCUUGACGAGGUUGUCGGCGGUGCAGCCUGUGUAGCUGACGCUCUCCACGGCCGGAAGCAGGUACGGCGGAGAGUUACACAGCAGGACGCACACUUUGUGUGUCUGACCUCUGGUGAUGGGAGGAGAAAAGUGACAUGGCAGCAGGGACGUGUUUCUAUUUCAUUUAUACAUUGCAUUAAUUUCAUGUGGCCGCCUAUAUGUAACCGGACUGUGUGUGAAGAAUCUCACAUUUGUUCCCGCAUCUUCUUGAAGUCGUCAAAGAGCUGCAAGGCUACUGAGAGCCCUUCCGCAAUAAGACUACAACUCUCUGCUCCGCCCCCCAUGAAUCUGGGUGGAAAAGUAGGUGAACACUUGAGAUUCCCCACUUGAAACACAGCGCGUGCGUAGCCAAAAGGUGCACUCACUGGAUGCUGUCGAUCCAGGAGACAAACUCGAAAGCCGAGCUGGUGGGAGCGUGACACUGCACGUACGAUUCGGGGGCACAGUCCACCGUGUUGAACACCACCAGGCCGUACUGAGUCCCCCCGUACUGGGGGAGGUCGCAGAUGACAAAGGAAAAAAAAGCAGAGGGAUUAACACUGUCGUGGAAAUGUUGCAAAGCAAGCUGCUAAAUGUGAACAGAUAAUACGGUCGUUCUCA